rnacentral:rRNA from 1 species
UACGGGGGGGAGCAAGCGUUGUUCGGAUUUACUGGGCGUAAAGGGCGCGUAGGCGGUCAGCACAAGUCAGUUGUGAAAUCUCCGGGCUUAACUCGGAAAGGUCAACUGAUACUGUGCGACUAGAGUGCAGAAGGGGCAACUGGAAUUCUCGGUGUAGCGGUGAAAAUGCGUAGAUAUCGAGAGGAACACCUGCGGCGAAGGCGGGUUGCUGGGCCGACACUGACGCUGAUGCGCGAAAGCCAGGGGAGCGAACGGG